AUGACCGAAGGUCCUGCGAUGCUAUAAAGAUCUAUAAAAGAAAGUCAUGUGCAUCAGACCUUGAAAACUAUGGACUUUCCCUGACUAAGCAGGACCUCCAUUUGGGGAUUGGUGGGGGUCCCAAUGGUCAGACCACCCACAAUCCCCUAUCCAGUGGUCAGACUACUCACAAGGAAGGAAAACCUCACAUCAGCUCACCACUCUAGUCUGAAUUUGCAUCAAGUCCAUGGCACAUGUAAGAAAUGGAAGCACGGAAACCAAUGGGCCGUAUCCCACAUAGACAUCAAUCAGAGAGAAGGUGGUGCAAUUCCA